ACAGAGGAGGCAAGCGUUGUUCGGAAUCACUGGGCUUAAAGCGCGUGUAGGCGGCCGAGUAAGUGUUGUGUGAAAGCCCGCGGCUCAACCGCGGAACGGCACGGCAAACUGCUCGGCUUGAGGUCGGUAGAGGUGCCUGGAACUCUAGGUGGAGCGGUGAAAUGCGUAGAUAUCUAGAGGAACGCCGGAGGCGAAAGCGGGGCACUGGGCCGAUUCUGACGCUGAGACGCGAAAGCGUGGGGAGCAAACAG
rnacentral:rRNA from 1 species